UACGAAGGGGGCUAGCGUUGCUCGGAAUCACUGGGCGUAAGGCGCACGUAGGCGGGUCCUUAAGUCAGGGGUGAAAUCCCGGAGCUCAACUCCGGAACUGCCUUUGAUACUGGGGAUCUUGAGUCCAGAAGAGGUGAGUGGAACUCCGAGUGUAGAGGUGAAAUUCGUAGAUAUUCGGAAGAACACCAGUGGCGAAGGCGGCUCACUGGUCCGGUACUGACGCUGAGGUGCGAAAGCGUGGGGAGCAAACAGG
rnacentral:rRNA from 1 species